rnacentral:rRNA from 1 species
GCAUAUCAAUAAGCGGAGGAAAAGAAACUAACAAGGAUUCCCCUAGUAACGGCGAGUGAAGCGGGAAGAGCUCAAAUUUGUAAUCUGGCACUUUCAGUGUCCGAGUUGUAAUCUCGAGAAGUAUUUUCCGCGCCGGACCGCAUACAAGUCUGUUGGAAUACAGCGUCAUAGUGGUGAGAACCCCGUAACUGAUGCGGAUGCCCGGUGCUUUGUGAUAUACUUUCGAAGAGUCGAGUUGUUUGGGAAUGCAGCUCAAAUUGGGUGGUAAAUUCCAUCUAAAGCUAAAUAUUGGAGCAAGACCGAUAGCGAACAAGUACCGUGAGGGAAAGAUGAAAAGCACUUUGGAAAGAGAGUUAACAGUACGUGAAAUUGUUGGAAGGGAAACGCUUGAAGUCAGACUUGCUAUUCGGAGUUCAGCCGCAAGGUGUAUUCUUCGAUUCGCAGGCCAGCAUCAGUUUUCGGGGGUGGAAAAUCGCGGUUUGAAGGUAGCAACCUCGGUUGUGUUAUAGCUUUCCGCUGGAUUCAUCCUUGGGGACUGAGGAACGCAGUACGCUUUUUGCAAGGCUUUCGAGUUUUUCGUACUUAGGAUGCUGGUGGAAUGGCUUUAAACGACCCGUCUUGAAACACGGACC